rnacentral:pre_miRNA from 1 species
AGUGGGAUAGCUGGGUCAAAAGGUGGUUCCAUUACCAGAUUUCCAAGGAAUCUCCAUACUGCUUUCUAGAUUGGCUGCACCAAUUUGCAGUCCCACCAGCAAU